rnacentral:rRNA from 1 species
GACGAACGCUGGCGGCGUGCUUAACACAUGCAAGUCGAACGGCAAGGCCCUGCUUUUGUGGGGUUCUCGAGUGGCGAACGGGUGCGUAACACGUGAGUAACCUGCCCUUGACUUGGGAUAACUUCAAGGAACUGGGGCUAAUACCGGUUCCGCGCUCCUGCUGCAUGGUGGGGGUUGGGAAGUUUCGGCGUUUGGGGAUGGACUCGCGGCUUAUCGGCUUGGUGGUGGGGUAGUGGCUUACCAAGGCUUUGACGGGUAGCCGGACUGGGAGGGUGACCGGCCACAUUGGGACUGAGAUACGGCCCAGACGCCUACGGGAGGCAGCAGUGGGGAAUAUUGCACAAUGGGCGGAAGGCUGAUGCAGCAACGCCGCGGGUGGGAUGACGGCCUUCGGGUGGAAAACCGCCUUCGGCUGUGACGAAGCGUGAGUGACGGGAAUGGGUAGAGAAGCAACGGCUAACUACGUG